UUGCUUUGGAAGUGCCAUCUGGCCAGACUAAAGGUCUGUUUUACUUUCCAACUUGUCCAGUGUGUUCCUUCCCAGGUGUUCUUCACUGCAGUCAGCUCCUCGGAGCAUUUGGUAAGGCCCUCAGUCUUACAUUUUGGAGGCCCCAGUGAGAUCCCCAGGCUGGAACCCCAGUUCAGCUGAGACUCUGUGGCGGGAUCCAGCAGGAGACUCUCAGGCACAGACCUCAGAUAACCUCUGGAGGAAGGAUCCACCCAGUGCCACAAUGGAACUCUCUACAGAGAAUGUGCAUUAGAAGAAUGAAAUUGGACUUGUGUAUCUCAGCAAAAUGUAUUUCAGAAAGCAAGAUUCUUUGCUACAUAUACUUAUUUUUGCAUGAUAGUAAAUACUUAAGACUUUUAUAUAGAAAUAUCAGUGAAAAUGUAUAUUUAAAACCAUAGCCUCUUUGAAGAUGCAGGCAAAAUGAUUUGUUUGCACCAGUUUUAAGUUCUCCUAAGAAUUCUUUCUUGAGGUUUCUGACCAUCAGUGCUUCUCUCCUGCAAGUUUUGUUCUUCCUUUGGUAGUAAGGGGUCAUUUUCACUCAAAGCUACAGGAGCCAAGAAAACAUCCUAAAAAUAAAAACAGAUUUAAUGAACUAAGUUUAAAGAGAAUUCAAGAUAGGUGAGAUGCAAUGCAUAUACACAUAUUUCUUCCUGUCUUUAAAUUGCAUACCAUGCACAAGCAUUUAGUGUAGAUAAUAUCAACUGUGCUCAUUAACUGUCACAUGUGAACUUGAUUAAGAACAAUUUAGCAGAUUAAAACUUCUGGGUGUGCUGUAGAUUAUUGACAUGUUAGCCAGCAAACUGAGGAAAAAGACCCAGCCCAGAUGUGAAAGGCACCAACCAAUAGGCUUCUGACAUGAAUGAAAGCAAGAAGAAAAAAAGAAAGUGUUCCUGUCAUGGAAGAUCAUGAAUCAUCACCACUGCCAUUGGACAUUGUUAUCCAGUUUCUUCAGCUUCCUGAUUCAGACUCACACUAGUGACUGCAGUGAAUGUCCAGGCCUUGACCUUUGACUACCCCUGGGUCCUCUUUCACCUCCCAUCCUUUGAACUGCCCUAAUAACUCCCCUGCCAUAAUCACACAUAUAUUGUCUAUUAAUUCUGCAAUCUGUCUACAAUGAGUAGCAUGAAUCUGCAUAUGAAAAUCUUACUCUUGCUUUAUUACUGACAUGUGACUCAAUGAUUGCAUCAUGAGAAAAUUUGGUUAUUUUGAAAUUAAAAAGUGGUUAAAAUUAGCAUGUCCCCAUACUUUUUCAAGGUCCACAAAUGAUUCCAUUGUACAAAUUGAAGCAGCACUCAGAGAGAUGAAACCUCAAUGCAGUUCUCCCUUCUCUCUAGGAACCUUGAGGGCUCCUCUCAUCUGCAAAGCAUUCAUGAGCCCUCUUGCCCCAUUUUAGAGGGAGGAUCCUAUGUUUCAUCACCUGACACCACAGAGGCUUGCUAUGUUCCCCUGUUAGAAGGCUAGAGAAACUGCAUUUAUUUUAGAUUUGGCACAGUCAGCAUUUGCCAGAGGCACCGAUUCCCUGUACUUCCACAAUGGCCUCUCCCUGUGGUCCUGGGGCUGCUACCAGCAUUGCAGCUGGUACUGAUUCUUGUCUGAUGAAUAUAUGGAAGCUGCUAUUGGUGAAGUAUCCACAUUAUUAGUCAUUUCUUAAGUUUUAUUUUUCAUAGUUUACUACUAACAUUUUACCAUUAGGAUCAAAGUGAUAUAAGGCCCCCAAAGGCUCCCCUCCAUUCCAGAAAAUCUUCCUAUUUCCAUCAUUGUAGAGCAGCAAGUUCAUGACUCAGUAACAAUCACCACAAAAAAUAGAUCAUAGUAGUUUGUCUCUUGAUUCAUUAGCUUGAGCAUUUCAAAGGACACAUAGUCAUCAUAAUCUAAUUUAAUAAAUUAUUAUUGAGUUCUUUGAUUUAAA